rnacentral:rRNA from 1 species
UACGUAGGGUGCAAGCGUUGUCCGGAAUUAUUGGGCGUAAAGAGCUCGUAGGCGGCUCGUUGCGUCGGCUGUGAAAACCCGCAGCUCAACUGUGGGCUUGCAGCUGAUACGGGCGGGCUGGGAUUCGGUAGGGGAGACUGGAAUUCCUGGUGUAGCGGUGAAAUGCGCAGAUAUCAGGAGGAACACCGGUGGCGAAGGCGGGUCUCUGGGCCGAUAUUGACGCUGAGGAGCGAAAGCGUGGGGAGCGAACAGG